UUCCUGGGCAACAAGCAAGCGAGGCAGGCAGGAGCGACUGCCAUCGGCCAAAACACCUCCCAGGCUCGGCUUCAGGGAAGGGAGAAGGGAAUUACAGGCGACCCCCACCCCCAGGUUAAACAAAAACAGUCCCCAGCCGUGGCACAUCCGGGUCCUUGUCUUCCGUGUUUCCCGCGCCUUUCUUGAUUGGGGGGGGGGGGGGGCGUUCUCCUCGCUUUCUAGUUCCCACAACGAGACAACGCGAUCCCUGGGAGAAAAGGGGUCUCUGGGCCGGAGCUAGACUCCUGAAGAAAGCGCUGACCAAUGCCAUCCAAGAACAAGCAUGUAUCAACUUCUCUGUCUGUUCUGGGAGCUGUUUGUGGUUGUUGAUUCCAAAUUAGGGCACUCAAACUAUGGCGUGCCCUGACAAGAGAAGGAUGCAUCUCACAGCAAGUACCAACAAGAAAGUAGCUGGUCUCAGAACAUGAAAGGUACUCUCUCCUGCCUUACACAAAUGCUACAAUUGAAUGCAUUCCAUUAAACCCUGAGCAAUUUGAACAAACAGCUGUAGUCAAGACUGGCAUUUACCUAUAGGUUACAUUCUUUAUAGUAAGACCUCACAGCACAAUCCUACCGUAUCCAUUCAGAUGUGAGUUGAAUGAGACUUAUGCCCAGGUACAAAUCUGCAGACUAAAAGUCUUAGUUUAUUUCCUAUCACACUCCAUACUUGAGCCAAUGACAAGCAGAUACACAGCACUAGAACGGCACUAACAUAUCUCUCCUCUUAAUACCACCAAUACUGAGAGACCUGCUCAGCAUCUUUUGUGCACUCCAUUUCCGUAUAACACAGAAGAGUCACUCUUCAGAGAAAGCUAAUGAAAAUAGAAGAUGCCUUAUACCUGAUUCUCUGCUUCGGAAAAUUUCCAGCAGGAACAUUCUUUGUCUGAUGAAUGGCAGUGAAGCCCUGGGUCACAUUCUCAACAGAUAGCAAAACACAGACAGAUCUUCAGAAUAUUCAGCAAUUGCCUUAUUUCAGCGAUAAAGGCAACCUCUGAGAAAAAAGAUAGUUGUAAAUAGGAUGCAUAAAUGAAAACAGGGAGUACUGGUUUUCUUUCUGCUUACCCAUUUCCCAGAAUCCCUGACUAAACAACAACAACAACAACGCUUUCCACAAAACUGAAUCAAAGGAAGGACAGCCUAAUUUGGGAGUCCAUUCCUAGUAGUGGCCAGCCAGAACUAGGUGGGGGCUGUCAAGUUGAUGGGUUUUAAUACCAGCACUUGGAGAAUUCUGGAAACUGGUGUUUACAAAAAGUAAUUGUUUCAAGCUCCGACCUCUACUACCUCACUUGCAAAGGUGAGUGACUGAGUAAAUAAUUGAGUGACAUAAAAACCUGGUAAUUUAUGCCAGUCUGACAGCUAUAAUGUGUAUUUGUUCAGAUGAAUGGGGAAUGGAGCCCUUUGACUUGCCGGAUAAGAGACAGAGAGGUGUAGUGGUUUGAAUUGACUAUGGCUCUGGAGGACCAGGGUUCAAAGCUAGGAAAAACCAUUGGGUGACCAUAGGCACAUCACACACUCUCAGCCUCACAGGAAACCAAUAGUAAUCCCUCUCUGAACAAAUCAGGCCAAGGAAAUCCUUUGAUAGGUUCACUGUAGGGUUGCCAUAAGUCAGAAAUCACUAGAUAGUACAACACCAGCUUACUUGAUAUAUGGAGACAUUAUAUCUAGCAAAAAAUAAAUCAUCUAAUUUUUUUCAGAUUAAAAAAACUGGUUUACCCAUGAAUUUUAACUGGUUUUAACUGGUUAAACAAAUCCCCAUGCUAAGUCUAUGAGAAGCAAAAACUAGAGUUCCUCCAAAACUGCAAGCACUAUCUCAACCAAAUUUUGAUAAUUUGUUCACACUAUCCGUACCUACCUUUCCGCCAAUAGUUGCAAUAGCCGACAGAGUGGAAGCGACCAAGUUUUGACAUUGUGGAUGCUUAAUCAACAUUUUUGACAUGAAGACUAUGUAUUCCAAAACCACUGGCAUCAGAACUGGACUCCCCAGGCUAAACUCCAUUAGUAAAACGUAAAGUUUAAAUACAGCUAUAUAACAAUUAUGAUAAUAUGUGCUUGCUUUAAAUGUUUAUACUUUAAUUUCUCCUAAGCUAUCAAAUAUUUUUGAAUAACUAGGUACUAGUUUAAAAGUAUUUUAUGUAGUUUUUAAAAAUGUAAUAAUAUGUGUGGAUUAUAGAUCUUCAUUUUUAAAUAUUCCAAUUUUAAGUGAAAAAUAUGAGAUCUUUCAAAUUGCUGUGUUUCUGAUUCUAAUCAAAAAUUUGUGAAAUUUGAACACAAUUAUAGAUUUUAUUGUGUAGCUUCAUUUUUUUACCCCAUGUAAUUAUCUUUAAUAGUUUUUGAAAUAUUAUUUUUUAAAACACCCGAAAGCAGUCAUGUCACUGCUCUUUUGCUCCUCCCCCUCUCUCUUACAUCUGCCUUCUUACUUCUCCUACUGGGGUAUAAAAGGUAAGUAUGAAAGCAGAAGUAUGAAAGCAACUGUGAGUCCUUCCUUCCAAACACACCUGUCUUACUGUGCAGUUGUCUGCUAUCUUGAGUUGCUGCUCUGAGACUUAAAGCCUGGUUAGUUGCUGUUAGUGUUGCCUUUCAUCCACCUGACUCCAGAAGAUGCCUAAGUGUCUAUCAAAGCAAUUGAAAAUGUUUGAGUUCAUGGCAAAAAAACAAACAAAAAACAAAUGUUGAAGACCAAUAAGGCAGCAAGGUGAGAACUAUUGCAACAGCUGGUAUUGAUUAAGACACCAGAACAUGCACACCUGGACUGCAGGUGAAAACUGAGGAAACUGUGGAAACGGAGGGGUCUACCACAGGUUCAUCUAAUCCAAGCCCAUGUAAAGAACCAUGUAACAGCAGCAAAGACAAUAAGCUCUGUUAUUGUUAGACCUUGGACUUUAUCUGUUUCUGAUGGCCAAGAGAAAGCUCAAUUAGUGCAAAAUCCACAAACUCCAUUGCUAGGAUAUGUAUUUCCUGUGGAUAAGAAGAGGCAUCUAAGUUUUCAACCCAAAUGGUUCAACAGAUUUCCCUGGUUAGCCUACUCAUUUCAAGUACAAGAUGCACUCUGUAAGUACUGUGUGGUGUUUGGAUGAGAAGUUGGGGGUAAAGGUGGUCAUCAGAAGCUUGCUGCAUUGGUUGCAAAACCAUCUGUGUGAUGGAAAGAUACAAUACAAGUCUUCAAUGCACACCAAAAAACAGAGUACCAUCAGAGCAACUUGUGCUUGGCUGAAAACUUCUUCCUAGUUCACAGUGGAAAAGAUCUUAAUGUAACCCAUCAUCAUGAUAAAUGAAAUAAGAAGAAAGCAAAAAAAAAAAAACCAGAUAGAAACUUCUGCCAAUUAUGGAAACUAUUGUCCUUUGUAGCCAGCAAAAACUGGCUUUAAGAGGGAGCAAUGAUUCAGGACGUAUUACCUGUGAAGAACCUUUGCAGAAUGAUGGUAAUUUCAGGGCUUUGUUGAGAUCUCAUGCCAGAUCAGGAGACACUGACAUGAAAAGUCAUCUUGAAACUGCAGUUAUUAAUGCCCAGUGUACUAGUCCUCAAAUACAGAAUGAACUAAUAGACAUUUGAGGUGACAAGACUGAGUCCAAAAAUCAUUGAAAGAUACAGUGUAUCAUGGUGUUUCUCUGUUUUGGCAGAUGAAACUUUGGAUGUGAGUUCCUCAAAAAAGUUAUUGCUCUUGGUAAGGUACCUUGAAGCUGCAGGAAUAAGAGAAGAUUUUAUAGGCUUUGUGAAGAUAAGUGAUAUGACAGGUGGAGAACUUGCUGGCAUUAUUUUGAAAAAACUUGAAAAAUUGGGCUGAACUUGCAAAAUUUGUGUGGACAGGUCAUGAUGGAGCUGCUAAUAUGAGUGGUCAUAUUAGAGGUGCACAGGAAGUUGUCACAGAAGUAUCCAAUGGUUGUCUAUAUCCACUGCAGAGUUCACUCACUAAAUCUAGCCUUAUGAAAGACUUGCAGCAUCCCACCUGCCAAGGAAACUUCCAAGGAUCAAUAUAAUCUCUGUGCAAUUUCCUCAGAGCAUCAACCAUCAGACUGGAACUGGAAAAAAAAUGAGACUGUUUUCCUGAACCAAGAGCAAACUAUCUUUUGCGCUUUGUGAAAUCCAUUGGAUUAAAAGGCAUGGUGCAGUUUUAUGUUUUGUUGAACCGUGCAGUGUGGUGAUGAGAACACUUGAAGAACUAAAAGAGAGUCCUCUAUACAACUGUGAGACUGUGAGACACCAACACCAACUGAAUAUUAUAGGCUAAAUUUGUACAUCCCAUUUCUGGAUUAUUAUUUUUUUUUGCAGCCAGCUUCAAGAAAGGUUUACAAGGCACAGAGAAGUAGUUCAGGAACUGCAAAUGUUCUUCCCUAUUAAUUGUGGCCUUUUAAAACCCAACUUGAACAAGUGCAGAGAACUUUACAAUGAAUUCCUUCAAGACACUAACAUGCUAUCAAAAACUUUGACCUGUGAUGUAGAAAAUGGAAAAAGAUUACACCUGCAGAAAAACCAUCAAAUGCACUGGAAGCAUAUCUUGUCUGUGAUAGACAGGUUUUUUUUCAAUUUUUUUUCAUGUCAGAAGCGACUUGAAAAACUGUAAAUCACUUCUGGUGUGAGAGAAUUGGCCAUCUGCAAGGACGUUGUCCAGGGGACGUCCAGAUGUUUUUGAUGUUUUUACCAUCCUUGUGGGAGGCUUCUCUUGUGUCCCCGCAUGGAGCUGGAGCUGAUAGAGGGAGCUCAUCCACACUCUCCCCAGGUUGGAGUCGAACUGGCAACUUUCAGGUCAGCAACCCUACCUUAAGUCAUAGUCCUCUCAGCACAAGGGUUUAACCCAUUGUGCCACCGGGGGCUCCUAUUUGUGAUGAAACUUCUUCUGAUUUCUGCAACAUUGCCAGUGUCAACAGCCAGGUUGUUUUCAACUCUUAAAUGUUUUAAAACAUACAUAAGAAGCACAAUGGGAUAAGUUAGAUUGACUGGACUUGCACUCUUGAGUGUUCACCAAUAGUUACCGAUGGAGCCUGAUUUCUGUUAAAGUGAAUUGAUACAGUUUUCAAGUGUUUCCAACAGGUGUUUUGGUAUUCUCUUGUAAUCACUAAAUUGCCAAUUAAGAGUCCUUUUCAGGUUUUUUAGACGUUAAACUUUGUAGCUAAAAUAGAAAUUUGAUUAAAUUAAGUCUAUAUAGAAAUAUAGAAUGAAUAAUAGAAUUUAAAUAAUUUUGUGUUAUGGACCUACUUUUCAUGAUUCGCUAAAAAAAUAAUAAAACGUAUCACCUCCCCAUUUUUUUCUGGCUGCAGGCUUGUAUUUAGCCACAUCUGCUGGUGGUAUGAACAACAGGGAUGGAAGGCACAGCUUUCCAAAAGUAGAUUUAAAAAUUGAGGAAACAACAUUUUUGUGUGCAAAAUCAUGGCAAUGUGAGUACAAAAAUAACAAAUGAACAGAAGAAUAAUGGAUAAAAUCCUUGAUGGAACAUACCAUGCCUGGCAUUCUAUUUCCAGUGCUUCUAAAAUAUCUCUGGAAAACUACACACAGUUUACAGACAACAGGCUUCUUAUGUUUCUGCUGUGCAAAAGCAUAUUCCGUGAAAAGGUUUAACAAUACUUAGCCUCUAAAAUUUUUCCCUCAGCCUUUUCCCACUAGUUAGUUAAAAAAAGGUAACAGACAUAUAAGCAGUGGCCGUAUAUGCUGUUACUUCCCAAAGAGAAGUCCUGGGCCUCACUAAACUACAAAUCCCAGAAAUCUGCAAGAGGCAGUCACAGCAUUUAAAGUGGAUGAAAGUAGAUAAAUGCUCAAGUGUGAUGAGGCCCACAGAAGCUAAGUCCUAUGAUGAAAAUUUGUAAGCACAGGCAUGUUUGUAACGGAGAAGAAACUAUUAAAAGUUCAUCUGAUAGCCCUCUUCAAAAAUGUGAAAGCUGUCAUGUAAAGGAUGGAGCAAAACUGGGAGUGGUGUGGGUUUGAUGUUACUGUUCUUGCUGCUGUUACUGUUGUUCCAGAAAGAAAGGCCUUGGAGUAAUUUAUUAAAAUUAAACCUCUUUCCCCCAAAGAUUUUAAUCAAAUAUUAGACAGAACCUCUUGAUGGUGCAAGAUGUUAACAGUGGAAAGACUACUUCAAAAGUUAGUAAUCUCUUCAUUUGAGAGUUUAAAGCAGAGACUACAUGGAUACCUUUCAGAGGAACUGCAGGAUACAUUGGCAAGGAUUUGUCCAGAUCAGUGGUUCCCAACCUGUGGUCCCCACGAACUAAAAUAUGGUCUUGCCAUUACUAAACAGUUGCAACAAGAGCGACUGGUCUUGCAACCCCUCUUAUAGUGCCGAGGCAAUGGGAAUGUUGGGAGGGGAAAAGCUGACUACCCACAAAAGGCGGGACAACAAGCCUCCUGACUGCUGCUUCUCCUCCUCCUCCCUCCUCUGAGCAGAGCCAUUUCAUGUGGCACCUGGAAGCGGGGGGCUCCUGUUUGUCUUGGAGUUAUUUGGGGUGCUGAUUCAGAAAACUGCAUUUGAUAGACUACAUCAGCUCUAGAUUAUUAAAUAUGGUUUUCUGUGGGCAAGCAGAUAGUGACUACUGAAUGGCAUAUGUUCUGUAUCAGAAACUAGAGCUGAUGUUGUCUAACCAAUGCAGUUUUCUGAAUCAGCACCACAAAUAACCAAACCAAAUCUAAAGUUGACCAAAAACUGAUUCAUAAUCCUUUUGGCAGUAAUGUUGGAGAGUGGUCCCUGGUCAAAGUGGUCCCUGGUCAAAAAAAGAUUGGGAACCACUAGUCGAGAUGAUCUUAUGAGAUGCCUCCUAACUCUAGAAGUCUAUUCUUUUUAUUUGAAGAAAGAUAUCUGGGUUCUUUGAAAAGAACUGAUUAAUAAUAAUACAGCUGUUGUUCUAAAAGUAAUUGAGAAAAGAACAAAGACGUAUGACAUCCUACUUCAGCCUUUUAUUCUCUAAGAUUUCCUGCCAGUUUUCUUCAAAAAUCACUCAUUCCAAGUCCACAACCAUUUCUCCAGUGCCUUUUCCUUUGAACUCAGUCCAGCCUGAAAACAUUUCUUUAGAAGCUGCAGUGCACCUGUUGACGCCUGACCUAGAAUCAACUGGAGUAGGGAAGUUAAAAUAUGCCAGAAAUAAAAAAAAAUAUUUCACUCUGUCAAAUCCCUCUCUCUCUGCACCAUUGUAAUUCCCCGAUCUGUAAAAUGGAAGUAACAUCAUUUGCCUGGAAUCUCAAAGAAGUUAAUACUAGGUAUUUCCCACAAGAUACUGGAAGCUAUAUAUUGUAUCUCAACACUGAGGACAAAGAUGGAUGUUAGAUAGGCAGAUAGAUAGGCCUGUGAUGGCACACCAUGGAUAAUAAGUAAGUAGUACGCCCAUUCUUCAAUUAUCCUCCCUUGCUUCCUCAUAUGAGAUCAGCUGUUGCACAGUUCCCUCUAUGUUGUCCACUUCCUGCCCCCAUUCUGGCAUCCUUCCUCCCACCCUGAGCAAGCUGCAAAGGGAGGCUGUUCUCACACAAUCAGACCCUUUGAUCAGUCAAACAGAAAUGGAGGCCAGGAAUGGAAGGGGGAAGGAGAAUGACAGAAUCAAAGAACAGUGGCCUCACUUUCUCCAUGAAAGUCUUUCUUCUACCCAUGAUAUUUGGGUUCUUCUCCUCUGACAAAUAACCCCCACCACCCUGUUUCCAAGCACUAGGCUUAAUGGGGUUGAACCUCCUGGGUCAAAGUGAAUUGGCUUUUUAUGAAAUCCUCACCAGGCUGAGCCCUGAGCCCACAAGGAAACAGUACUCAGUUUCUGCACCUUGGCAGCAAAAUAUGGGCUGGAAUGAAAAGAUAAGGAAAAGGAACCAGAAUACUGUCUCCAAUUCUGGACACCGCAGUUGAAGGGAGAUGUUGACAAGCUUGUUCUGUGCUGCCCUGGAGACUAGGAUGCGGAACAAUGGCUUCACACUACAGGAAAGGAGAUUCCACCUGAACAUAAGGAAGAACUUCCUCAUUGUGAGAGCUGUUCGGCAGUGGAAUUCUCUGCCCCGGACUGUGGUGGAGGCUCCUUCCUUGGAGGCUUUUAAGCAGAGGCUGGAUGGCCAGCUGUCGGGGGUGCUUUGAAUGAGAUUUUCCUGAUGCUUGCAGGUGGUUGAACUGGAUGGCCCAUGAGGUCUCUUCCAACUCUACGAUUCUAUGAACUCCCCCCUUUUGGUCCUUAACACGGUCAGAUCCCUAUUGUCACCCUACAAUGAAGAUUCCAUAGACCAGUGGUUUUCAACCUUCCUAAUGACAUGACCCCUUAAAACAGUUCCUCAUGUUCUGGUAACCCCCAACCAUAACAUUAUUUUUGUUGCUACUUCAUAACUGUAAUUUUGCUACAGUUAUGAAUCGUAAUGUAAAUAUCUGAUAUGCAGGAUGCAUUUUCAUUCACUUGACCAAAUUUGGCACAAAUACCCGAUACGCCCAAAUUUGAAUACUGGUGAGGUUGCGGGGCAUUGGUUUUGUCAUUUGGGAGUUUUUGUUGCUGGGAUUUAUAGUUCACCUACAAUAAAAGAGCAUUCUGAAAUUCACCAAUGAUGGAAUUGAACCAAACUUGGCAAACAGAACUCCCAUGAAAAUGCUGGAAGGGUUUGAUGGGCAUUGACCUUGAGUUUUGGAGUUGUAGUCCUUAUGCAUUUUCUAAUGGGAGCAUUAAAAAAACAAAAUGAAAGACUGACUUUUUUUUGAUAAAUAGUGUUACAAAUUACCUAAGCUGCUUCUGCUGCUGCUGCUGCUUCUGCUCCUCCUCCUGAUGCUGCUGGGCCACUCUCAGUCCCACGUCGCUUGGGCACUUUCGUCCUUGCCUUGAAGGGACUUGCCUGCACGAGCCUCCCUCAAGCCUUGCGUGCUCUCCUUCACCUGCUCAUGCACACCAUGCUACCAAGUGCCAAGCAUGCCUACUCUCCCCUCCCCGCAUGGAGUCUCAGGAACAGUCCUCCCCUUAGCUGAGAGGCCAGCCAAUCACAGAGGAGGAGGGCUUUUGAUGGGAGGAUUCGUAGUCUGUUUCCAAAAAGGAAGAGAAGGACAGGCGGAAAAUCUUCAACCCUCUCUGCCAAAGGGGUUCCUAAGACUAUCAGAAAUAUUUGUUUUCUGAUGGUCUUUGACGACCCCUCUGACACCCCCCUUGCGACACACGCAGGGUCCUGACCCCCAGGUUGAAAGACGCUGCCAUAGACAAUCCAGUGAGAUUUGGUCAGGAAUGGGUUUUUGUAAUGCUCUUGGUCUGCACAAGACAUCAAAUGCCAGCCAAAUCAUUUCUGACUUUUUGCUGGGUGCAGUCUCUGAGCUUGCUGGGGUUCAAAAGGCAGAACGUAAUGAUUUCCUCAACUGAGAGUAAAAUAACCUUCCAACAGACACCUUUUUAUUGUUUAUUUAACAGGUGUACAAGUUCUCAAUUUGACCAUGUACAAGAGUUUGGCAUCUUCAAAAAAUGCAAGGAGAAUAAAUUCUCAAGGCCUAACAGGAUGGCUGGUACAAAUUACUAGGGCCUAUUGAUCUGGAAGUAUGUUGCUUAUUCUUUUGUCUUUCCCAGUAAAACCAUCACUUGUCUACUGUUUCUGACAUCCAUUGUAAAAUCAAAGACCUCUAAAUAAAAUAAUGAAAUACAGAAUGUCA